CCUACGGGGGGCUGCAGUAAGGAAUAUUGGUCAAUGGACGAAAGUCUGAACCAGCCAUCCCGCGUGCAGGAUGAAAGCCCUAUGGGUUGUAAACUGCUUUUAGCAGAGAAGAAAAGCUUUCAUUAAUGAGAGUCUGACGGUAUCUGCAGAAUAAGCACCGGCUAACUCCGUGCCAGCAGCCGCGGUAAUACGGAGGGUGCGAGCGUUAUCCGGUAUUACUGGGUCUAAGGGGUGCGUUUACGGCGUAUUAGAAAUCUGGGCGCUUAACGAUAAAAUUGCCAAUGAUACUGGGACUCUUGAAUGGGGUUGAGGUUAGCGGAAUGUGACAUGUAGCGGUGAAAUGCAUAGAUAUGUCAUGGAACACCAAUUGCGAAGGCAGCUAACUGGGCCGUGAUUGACGCUGAGGCACGAAAGCGUGGGUAGCGAACAGGAUUAGAUACCCCAGUAGUC
rnacentral:rRNA from 1 species